AUUGAACGCUGGCGGCAGGCUUAACACAUGCAAGUCGAGCGAGCGGCGGACGGGUGAGUAAUGUCUGGGAACCUGCCUGCUGGAGGGGGAUAACUACUGGAAACGGUAGCUAAUACCGCAUACCAUCAGAUGUGCCCAUAUGGGAUUAGCUAGUGGGUGGGGUAAUGGCUCACCUAGGCGACGAUCCCUAGCUGGUCUGAGAGGAUGACCAGCCACACUGGAACUGAGACACGGCCCAGACUCCUACGGGAGGCAGCAGUGGGGAAUAUUGCACAAUGGGCGAAAGCCUGAUGCAGCCAUGCCGCGUGUGUGAAGAAGGCCUUCGGGUUGUAAAGCACUUUCAGCGAGGAGGCGUUACCCGCAGAAGAAGCACCGGCUAACUCCGUGCCAGCAGCCGCGGUAAUUC
rnacentral:rRNA from 1 species